AUGGACCCAGUGAGCUGCUGCCGCAGCUUGUCCUGUGAUGAGCGCCCUGUCGGUGUUAUGGGUGUUUUUACACCUCCAGCUCCAAUUCAGCGUGAACACUACCAGGCUGCGGCGCUCGGAGCCGACAGGUUGCUGCCGCUCCUCUUCCUUCUCUCGCUCGUUUACGUUUACUCCUUGGAUCCACCACCGUCUCCCUCACUUCACGGAUGGCGACUGGGAGAGGUUCCGGAGACCCUGCCUCUCAGGCUGAGAGCUCCAUCUAUAAUCCCAAUGAUCUGGAUGGACAGUCCUGUCUGCUGACACCAGCCACCGCCAGCAUCCUCUUCAGGCUGUCACCGAGAUGGAUGGGGAUGGCUUUGGUCCCGACCUGAGUCAGAGGCCACUUCAUGACAGCAGCACUGGCUGGCCGGCCGGGCAGGAAACACCACUGCUCUGUGCCACAUGCCGGCCAUGGCUGGUUCCCCUCAUGCCCACUCAGCGCUGCCAGCUGGGCAGCUGGCUAAGCCACCCGGGCAGCUGGCUAAGCCACCCAGGAGACUCUCUGCACUGGGUCUCCUGCCUCCACUGCUCC
rnacentral:lncRNA from 1 species